rnacentral:rRNA from 2 species
GCUCGUAGUUGAAAUUCGAGUCAGUUACUAGUUGGCUCUUCGUCAGUUAGUUAAUUGAUUCUCCGUCUACAAUCCCUUUUGCGCUUUAGGGUUGCAGCUGGGCGAGUAGACAAUUUACCUUGAAAAAAUUAGAGUGUUCCAGGCAGGUCUUCGCCGGAAUACAUUAGCAUGGAAUAAUGGAAUAGGACUUGGGUCUUUUGUUGGUUUUAGGACUUGAGUAAUGAUUAAUAGGGACAGAUGGGGGCAUUAGUAUUUAAUUGUCAGAGGUGAAAUUCUUGGAUUUAUUAAAGACUAACUUAUGCGAAAGCAUUUGCCAAGGAUGUUUU